rnacentral:tRNA from 37 species
GGCCUUGUAGCUCAGUGGUCUAGAGCGCUCGUUUCCGAUGCGAGAAGUCCCAGGUUCGAUCCCUGGCCAGGUCG